CGUAGGGGGCAAGCGUUGUCCGGAUUUAUUGGGCGUAAAGAGCGUGUAGGCGGCCGCACAGGUCCGUUGUGAAAACUGGAGGCUUAACCUUCAGACGUCGAUGGAAACCGUGCGGCUAGAGUCCGGAAGAGGAGAAUGGAAUUCCUGGUGUAGCGGUGAAAUGCGUAGAGAUCCGGAGGAACACCAGUGGCGCAGGCGGCUCUCUGGGUCGGCCCUGACGCUGAGGCGCGAAAGCGUGGGGAGCGAACGGGAUUAGAUACCCCGGUAGUCCACGCCGUAAACGAUGAUCACUAGGUGUGUGCGGUAUCGACCCCGCACGUGCCGUAGCUAACGCAUGAAGUGAUCCGCCUGGGGAGUACGGCCGCAAGGUUG
rnacentral:rRNA from 1 species